GUGCUCCCUUCGGCAGCAUAUAUACUAAAAUGGGAACGAUACAGAGAUUAGCAUGGCCCCUGCGCAAGGAUGACAUGCAAAUUCGUGACGCAUUCCAUAUUUUU
ensembl:snRNA U6 U6 spliceosomal RNA